rnacentral:rRNA from 1 species
GGUCAAGCUACGAAGGGCUUACGGUGGAUACCUAGA